UACGAAGGGGGCUAGCGUUGUUCGGAAUUACUGGGCGUAAAGUGUGCGCAGGCGGCCGAGCAAGUCGAGUGUGAAAGCCCCGAGCUUAACUUGGGAACUGCGCUCGAAACUACUUGGCUAGAGUGUGGCAGAGGGAGGUGGAAUUCCACGUGUAGCAGUGAAAUGCGUAGAGAUGUGGAGGAAUACCGAUGGCGAAGGCAGCCCCCUGGGAUAACACUGACGCUCAUGCACGAAAGCGUGGGGAGCAAACAGG
rnacentral:rRNA from 1 species